CGUGCGGCCCGCCCCGCGCUGCCUCGCGCGCCCUCACGCAGCGCCUGCCCGCCGCCCGGGGCGCCCGGGGGAAUCGGUGCGUCUCGAGACUCGGCGAGCUGGGAACGCUGCUGCGUCGGCGGCCGUGGUGCCGGGCUCUCUCCCGGCUCGGGCUAAGCAGGCGGAGGCCCGCCCCCGGCCCAGCUCCGGAGCCCCAGCCGCCCCGCCUACUCCGGGCGGGGAAGGGGCUGGGCGCACGCGGUCCGGGCCCCGCCUCCUGGGGGGAGCGAGCGGGCGGGCGGGCAGAGGCGCGGCGGGUCCCCACGUCUCCCCCGCGCCGUGCGCCCGCCCUCCCGGCGCCCAGCCAGAGGCGCGCUCGAGCCGUGGUCCCACCCCCGCGCCCGUCCGAUUGGGUCUUCCUGGGGGUGUGUGGGAGGGGCGGGGCGCACUCGGGGGACGCCGCGGGAGAUGGUACAGUCCACCCUUCGGGCUGCCCGCCGCCCCCCCCCCUUCCGCGGUUCAAGUUUCUGCGGCCGGAGGACGCGGCCUCCGCCAAUCCCAGGGCUACAGGGCGCUUUUAAAAUGCAGCAAACUGCAAUGCAGGUGCCUGGAACCCUACUGCCCAGCUUAAGAAAUCACCGACGUCAUUGGCCCCUGGAGCCCCUCCCAGGUCACCUGGCCAGCCCACCUGACACCAGGGUGAACAGGAUCCUAAAUGUUGCAUUGCUUAUUCCUGUAUCUCAUAGUGCUGUAUUUUCCCCUUAUAAUAUACUGCUUAAUCUUGCAUGCUUUUGAACUUUAUUCAAAUUGUAUUAUACUUCAUGUGUUCUCUGGCAGCAAGCUUUUAAGUCAUGCAUUAUUAUGUUGAAAUAUGUCGCUGGGGUUCAUUUAUUUGCACGGCUGGCUGUAGAGCGAGGUUUCCCAGCCUCAGCACGUUGGCAGUUUGGACUGGAGAAGUCUUUGUUGUAGGGGCGGGGAGGGGGCGUCCUCCCCAGUGUAAGAUGUUUACCAGCUUCUCUGGCCUCCACCCAUUAGAUGGAAGUGACGCCCCUGCCCCUGUUACUGUGAAAACCAAAAACGUCUCCAAUCUAAAAAAAUGAUCCAAAUGAACUCAUUUACAAAAUAGAAACAGACUCUCAGACUUAACAAACAAAUUCAUGGUUACCAGAGGCAGGAGGUGGCGGGGAGGGAUAAAUCAGGAGUUUGGGGUUAACAGAUACACUAGCGUCCUUGCUAAGUCACUUCAGUCCUGUCCGACUCUUUGAGACCCCCCCCCCAUGGACUGUAUCCCACCCGGCUCCUCAGUCCAUGGGAUUCUCAAGGCAAGAAUACUGGAGUGGGUUGCCAUGCUCUCCUCCAGGGGAUCUUCCCAACACAAGGAGCAGAUACAAGCUACUAUAUAUAAAAUAAUCAACAAGGGCCUACUACAGAGCACAGGAAACUCUACUCAGCAUUCCAUAAUGACCUAAAUGGAAGAAUAGAUACGUGUAUAUGUAUAACCGAAUCACUUUGCUGUCUGCCUGAAACUAACACAACAUUGUAAAUCAACUAUACUCCAGUAUAAAAUAAAAAUUAAAAAACAAGAACAAAAAUGUCUCCAGACCUUGCCAAAUGGCCACUGAGAUCGAAAUCUCCCCAGCUGAGAACGCCGCCAUCUAAUUUCCAUUGCAUGAAUACAUUACCUUUACUUCUCUUCUCCUGUUGAAGGACAUUUGUUUCUAGUUUUCUGCUGCAGCGAGCGAUGCCGCCGUCUGUGUCCCCGUGCUCACAGGCACAAGCUUCUCUUGGGUCUGUACCCUCGUGGCUCUCGGGGCAUAAGAGAAACCCGGGCUAAAUUUCAUACUGGAGGUGCACAGAUAUUAGGGGGGAAAAAGAAACAGUAUAGCAGGUUUGCCCACUAUGACAUCUUUGAAAUGUUUAUCAAAC
ensembl:lncRNA